UAUCAGAAGUGCGAAUGCUGACAUAAGUAACGAUAAAGCGGGUGAAAAGCCCGCUCGCCGGAAGACCAAGGGUUCCUGUCCAACGUUAAUCGGGGCAGGGUGAGUCGACCCCUAAGGCGAGGCCGAAAGGCGUAGUCGAUGGGAAACGGGUUAAUAUUCCCGUACUUGGUGUUACUGCGAAGGGGGGACGGAGAAGGCUAUGUUGGCCGGGCGACGGUUGUCCCGGUUUAAGCGUGUAGGUGUGUGUUCCAGGUAAAUCCGGUUCACUUUAACACUGAGGCGUGACGACGAGGCACUACGGUGCUGAAGCAACAAAUGCCCUGCUUCCAGGAAAAGCCUCUAAGCAUCAGGUAACAUCAAAUCGUACCCCAAACCGACACAGGUGGUCAGGUAGAGAAUACCAAGGCGCUUGAGAGAACUCGGGUGAAGGAACUAGGCAAAAUGGUGCCGUAACUUCGGGAGAAGGCACGCUGACAC
rnacentral:rRNA from 1 species